rnacentral:misc_RNA from 1 species
CAACCCUCAAGCUCUGCUUGGUGUUGGGCCCUGCCGUGCCAGCUGGCUGGCAGGCCCUAAAGUCAGUGGCGGUGCCCGCUGGGGCUCUAAGCGUAGUACACUUCUCGCUCUGGAGGCCUGGUGGUGCUUGCCAAACAACACCCAUCUUUCACU